rnacentral:rRNA from 1 species
AUUGAACGCUGGCGGAAUGCUUUACACAUGCAAGUCGAACGGUAGAGGGGGCAACCCCUCGAGAGUGGCGAACGGGUGAGUAAUAUAUCGGAACGUGCCCAGUCGUGGGGGAUAACGUAGCGAAAGUUACGCUAAUACCGCAUACGAUCUAAGGAUGAAAGCGGGGGAUCGCAAGACCUCGCGCGAUUGGAGCGGCCGAUAGCAGAUUAGGUAGUUGGUGGGGUAAAGGCUCACCAAGCCAACGAUCUGUAGCUGGUUUGAGAGGACGACCAGCCACACUGGACCUGAGACACGGGCCAGACUCCUACGGGAGGCAGCAGUGGGGAAUUUUGGACAAUGGACGCAAGUCUGAUCCAGCCAUUCCGCGUGCAGGAUGAAGGCCCUCGGGUUGUAAACUGCUUUUGUACGGAACGAAAAGGUCUCUCUUAAUACGGGGGGCUCAUGACGGUACCGUAAGAAUAAGCACCGGCUAACUACAUGCCAGCCGCCGCGGUAA